GGUAGGCCUAACACAUGCAAGUCGAACGGCAGCACAGGAGAGCUUGCUCUCUGGGUGGCGAGUGGCGGACGGGUGAGGAAUACAUCGGAAUCUACUCUGUCGUGGGGGAUAACGUAGGGAAACUUACGCUAAUACCGCAUACGACCUACGGGUGAAAGCAGGGGAUCUUCGGACCUUGCGCGAUUGAAUGAGCCGAUGUCGGAUUAGCUAGUUGGCGGGGUAAAGGCCCACCAAGGCGACGAUCCGUAGCUGGUCUGAGAGGAUGAUCAGCCACACUGGAACUGAGACACGGUCCAGACUCCUACGGGAGGCAGCAGUGGGGAAUAUUGGACAAUGGGCGCAAGCCUGAUCCAGCCAUACCGCGUGGGUGAAGAAGGCCUUCGGGUUGUAAAGCCCUUUUGUUGGGAAAGAAAUCCAGCUGGCUAAUACCCGGUUGGGAUGACGGUACCCAAAGAAUAAGCACCGGCUAACUUCGUGCCAGCCGCCGCGGUAAAUAA
rnacentral:rRNA from 1 species